GCAUGCUCCACGGUGCUCACAACACAGCCACACGAGGUGACCAGUGUUGUACGUGAGCCCGGAGCUUGCGCCUGCACCAAGAAUUAACCGAGAAGCAGGAUCAGCUCUGCUGAAAGCCGAGCAACACACAGAGUGUGCCACAAGGCCGGCGGGUUCGCCGUAGCUCCCCCGCCACAGUCUUGCUUUCACUUCGCCUUCGGGUUUUGUGGGACCCUUAGACUUGCACACAUGCUAUACUCCUUGGCCCGUGUUUCGAGACGUGACCGAUGGUGCUGGACUUGACACCACUCAGACCAACGCCCGGCUGAGAGACCUUGCAAAAUGCAGCUGGGUCAUACCGCCUGGGAUUGACGCUUCCGGCACAGUGGAAGCGCCUGGACGUCGGUCUGGCCAGAAAGCAGCUCGUCGCAAGAGGAUCAUACCAGGUUUAACUCGGUCGCCGCCCGACCCAGGACUAGACACGCGUGACAACAGCUCCACUAGAGAUCGAGCUGUGUGAACAACGCAUCGUUGCCAUCGUCCUGGAUUCGCGAUCGGCAGUUUGAGCCUGUGGGUGACCUCACAACGUGCCGUGGUGGGCGUAACCGCAUUAGGACACAGUAGCUCUGAACGUUCAUUCAAAAGGAAACGGCCAGGAGCCGUUCGGCCGAAGCCUAGGACCCCAAAACCGAAUCCCCGCACGUAAGCUAAGAGGCAAACUCAAUGCUCCGCCCAACGAACCGCGCUACAUGCCUCACGACACACCAUAUAGAUGGCCGACACUGCGGAAGCCUUCCAAGCUCCAUUGGCUUAUACUCUGAGCGGUUUCACGGUCUUU
rnacentral:rRNA from 1 species